rnacentral:rRNA from 1 species
UGGAGCAUGUGGUUAAUUCGAAGCAACGCGAAGAACCUUACCAGGUCUUGACAUCCCUGACAACCCGAGAGAUCGGGCGUUCCCCUUCGGGGGACAGGGUGACAGGUGGUGCAUGGUUGUCGUCAGCUCGUGUCGUGUGAUGUUGGGUUAAGUCCCGCAACGAGCGCAACCCUCGACCUUAGUUGCCAGCAUUCAGUUGGGCACUCUAAGGUGACUGCCGGCUAAAAGUCGGAGGAAGGUGGGGAUGACGUCAAAUCAUCAUGCCCCUUAUGACCUGGGCUACACACGUGCUACAAUGGGCGGUACAAAGGGUCGCGAACCCGCGAGGGGGAGCCAAUCCCAAAAAGCCGCUCUCAGUUCGGAUUGCAGGCUGCAACUCGCCUGCAUGAAGCCGGAAUCGCUAGUAAUCGCGGAUCAGCAUGCCGCGGUGAAUACGUUCCCGGGCCUU